rnacentral:rRNA from 1 species
GAUGAACGCUGGCGGCGUGCCUAAUACAUGCAAGUCGAGCGAACAGACGAGGAGCUUGCUCCUCUGACGUUAGCGGCGGACGGGUGAGUAACACGCGGAUAACCUACCUAUAAGACUGGGAUAACUUCGGGAAACCGGAGCUAAUACCGGAUAAUAUAUUGAACCGCAUGGUUCAAUAGUGAAAGACGGUUUUGCUGUCACUUAUAGAUGGAUCCGCGCCGCAUUAGCUAGUUGGUAAGGUAACGGCUUACCAAGGCAACGAUGCGUAGCCGACCUGAGAGGGUGAUCGGCCACACUGGAACUGAGACACGGUCCAGACUCCUACGGGAGGCAGCAGUAGGGAAUCUUCCGCAAUGGGCGAAAGCCUGACGGAGCAACGCCGCGUGAGUGAUGAAGGUCUUCGGAUCGUAAAACUCUGUUAUUAGGGAAGAACAAAUGUGUAAGUAACUAUGCACGUCUUGACGGUACCUAAUCAGAAAGCCACGGCUAGCUACGUG